GGGAAGCGAGGCUUUACCGACGCCCACAGCGGAGCCCAGCGCCGCGCUGAGAGGUGAAUUCUAGUGAAUUUUUCUCUCUACAUGAGAGGAGAAAGUGAGAUGAGAAGAGAGCCUAUGGAUCAGCAAGAGAAAAGGAGAAGGGGGAAAAAAGCAUCAUACAAACUGUAUGCAUAACCAGCCAGAUUUAUUGCUCAGAGAGACAGUACCUUUUGCUGAGUCCAGCAUAUGGCCAACAGGAGCUAUGUCAGGUAAGGAAUACAACCUUUAAUUUUUUAC
rnacentral:lncRNA from 1 species